rnacentral:rRNA from 1 species
UACGUAGGGGGCAAGCGUUGUCCGGAUUUAUUGGGCGUAAAGAGCGUGUAGGCGGCUUUACAGGUCCGUUGUGAAAACUCGAGGCUCAACCUCGAGAGGUCGGUGGAAACCGUCUGGCUAGAGUCCGGAAGAGGAGAGUGGAAUUCCCGGUGUAGCGGUGAAAUGCGCAGAUAUCGGGAAGAACACCCGUGGCGAAGGCGGCUCUCUGGGACGGUACUGACGCUGAGACGCGAAAGCGUGGGGAGCGAACAGG